GAGAAUCAAAUUUAAAACCUGAAUAGGAAUCAGAAUAGUACCAAAACCAGAUAGAUUCGAUACAAGUAUCGACAUCAAGAACCAAGAUAGGACCUGGUCCAGUUUUGGAUCAGACUAACACUCUUUGAUACUGAAAUUGAAAUCAGACUGUAUACCUGGUUCCGGACCGACUGACACCCUUAGCUACACCUGCCCACCCACGCAGGCUGCCCCACUCUCUCAAGGGUGGGGAUGACUGCAUCUUCUGCUUAUAAAUGUGAGAAGGUGAAGGGAAAAGGAUCACAAAUCAUAUCAUCUGUGACAAUUGAAAGAUUUCAAACUCAUAUGUCGCUCUCGUGCCUUCUGAUGAUCCUAAUCCUGACGAAUUGGAUGGUAUCAGCGAGUCAUGCAUGGCUCGGGUUCAUUCAAUCGGAUUAGCUUUCCAGUUGGUUUCAUUUUCGGGACUGCAUCUUCUGCUUACCAGUUAUUUGUAUUUCUUUCACCUUGCAGAGAAGUAAUUGAGGAUCAUGGAGAAAGCCAUUUUAGCUCAUAGGAAGAAUCCACUUCCCAUUCUCUGAAAGCCAACAUACUUUAUAGUCUUGAAAAUUUGGAUGAAACUUUGAAGGUUCUAGAGGAGCUUAAAGAAUAUGCUCCAUGAGAGAGAGCCAUGCUUCAUUUUGGACUGGCUUUGGAUUUAAAACCAUCUGCAGCUGAUGUUACUACCAUCAAGGUAGGAAAAGUGUAUUUUAAGCUGGUGGAUUAUCUAGAAGCUGAUCAAGCCUUUACCCUUGCUCGCUGAUCAUCAACUUAUACUCUAGAAGGAAUGGAUUUAUACUCACUCUACUGAUCUUUAUGUGUUAUGUUCUAGAGUUUUUAAAAGAAGCUUCAAGAGAUUAAGAAGUAUUUUAUAGACAAAUGGAGUGGAAAGAGAGGUAGGAAGAAGGGUGGAAGAAAAGUAGAAGAGAAAGAAAGUGAGAGCAAUGGAAGCUCUGGACAGCGAGCUGCCCAGAAUGAAGUAGAAGAAAAAGGAGAGUCAAGGAAGUAGAAGAGAGAAAGAGAGUUGGGUAAGUGUGAGAGAGUGAGGAGGUGCAACCUGGCCUCACCUUCCCUCUUGGGUGUGUGUGGGUGUGUGUUUACAGCUAUAUGUGUGUGUGUGUGUGUGUGUGUGAGUAAGUUAUGUACAACUAUGUUUGUAUGUUUACUGAAUAUAGAUGGUGUGUGUUGAAUUCUAAGAACAAAGAUCAGAAAAGAAAAUAGAAAAAGAAAAGAAAAGAAAUGGAUGCAUCAAAUGUUUCUCCCAA